rnacentral:rRNA from 1 species
CCUACGGGGGGCAGCAGUGGGGAAUAUUGGGCAAUGGGCGGAAGCCUGACCCAGCGACGCCGCGUGAAGGAGGAAGGCUUUCGAGUUGUAAACUUCUUUGGGGAGGGACGAAGAUGACGGUACCUCCAGAACAAGCCACGGCUAACUACGUGCCAGCAGCCGCGGUAAUACGUAGGUGGCGAGCGUUAUCCGGAUUUACUGGGUGUAAAGGGCGCGCAGGCGGCCCUGGAAGUCAGAUGUGAAAGAUCAAGGCUUAACUUUGACAGGUCAUCUGAAACUUUGGGGCUUGAGUAUCAGAGGGGAAAGUGGAAUUCCUAGUGGAGCGGUAAAAUGCACAGAGAUUAGGAGGAACACCGGUGGCGAAGGCGACCUUCUGGCUGACAACUGACGCUGAGGCGCGAAAGCGUGGGGAGCAAACAGGAUUAGAUACCCUGGUAGUCCACGCCGUAAACGAUGAUUACUGGGUGUAGGGAGUAUCGACUCUCUCUGUGCCGAAGCAAACGCGAUAAGUAAUCCACCUGGGGAGUACGGCCGCAAGGCUAAAACUCAAAGGAAUUGACGGGGACCCGCACAAGCAGUGGAGUAUGUGGUUUAAUUCGAGGCAACGCGAAGAACCUUACCAGGGAUUGACAUCCUGCGCUAGGCCUGGAGACAGGUUGUUCCUUCGGGACGCAGAGACAGGUGGUGCAUGGUUGUCGUCAGCUCGUGUCGUGAGAUGUUCGGUUAAGUCCGGCAACGAGCGCAACCCUUGUUGUCAGUUACCAUCAUUAAGUUGGGGACUUUGGCGAGACUGCCGUUGACAAAACGGAGGAAGGUGGGGAUGACGUCA